rnacentral:rRNA from 1 species
AUACGGAAGGUCCGGGCGUUAUCCGGAUUUAUUGGGUUUAAAGGGAGCGCAGGCGGAGAUGCAAGCGUGACGUCAAAUUUCGGGGCUCAACCCCGUCUCGCGUCGCGAACUGCGUCCCUUGGUUGCGGGAAGGGGAGGCGGAACUCGGGGUGUAGCGGUGACAUGCAUAGAUAUCACGAAGAACUCCGAUCGCGAAGGCAGCCUUCCGGCCCGUCAACGACGCUCAUGCUCGAAGGUGCGGGUAUCAAACAGGAUUAGAUACCCUGGUAGUCCGCACAGUAAACGAUGGACACCCGCGGUUUGGCCUGUAUGGCUGAGCCGCCAAGCGAAAGCGUUAAGUGUCCCACCUGGGGAGUACGCCGGCAACGGUGAAACUCAAAUGAAUUGACGGGG